GACCGGAUGACUUCUCAAGAAGCAGCCUGUUUUCCAGAUAUUAUCAGUGGACCACAACAGACCCAGAAGGUUUUUCUGUUCAUUAGAAACCGCACACUACAGUUGUGGUUGGAUAAUCCAAAGAUUCAGCUGACAUUUGAGGCUACUCUCCAACAAUUAGAAGCACCUUAUAACAGUGAUACUGUGCUUGUCCACCGAGUUCACAGUUAUUUAGAGCGUCAUGGUCUUAUCAACUUCGGCAUCUAUAAGAGGAUAAAACCCCUACCAAGUAAGGACCUCCUACCUGGCUGAUAAAUUUUACAUUUUUAAGUUAUGAUUUUAGGACUGUAUUUUAUAUCUAUGAUGACGUUAGGAUUUUAUUUUGAUUCAUAAGACUAUAUUUAAAAAUAUUUCCAAGUUUAUCUUCUUAUAAGUCAAGUUAAAUAUAAUAAAUAAAUAAUAAAAAAUAAAGUCUCUUAAUGUGCAUUUCCCUUAAUUUCUAGUUUGAUAGCUACUUAGUAAAAGAUACUGGAUUUCCAAUUU
rnacentral:sRNA from 1 species